rnacentral:rRNA from 1 species
UACAGAGGGUGCGAGCGUUGUCCGGAAUCACUGGGCGUAAAGGGCGCGUAGGCGGUCUUGUAAGUCGGGGGUGAAAUGCUGCGGCUCAACCGCAGCGCUGCCUUCGAGACUGCAAGACUGGAGCACGGUAGAGGCGGAUGGAAUUCCCGGUGUAGCGGUGGAAUGCGUAGAGAUCGGGAAGAACACCAAUGGCGAAGGCAGUCCGCUGGGCCGUUGCUGACGCUGAGGCGCGACAGCGUGGGGAGCAAACAGG